rnacentral:rRNA from 1 species
UGGGGAAUUUUGGACAAUGGGCGAAAGCCUGAUCCAGCAAUGCCGCGUGUGUGAAGAAGGCCUUCGGGUUGUAAAGCACUUUUGUCCGGAAAGAAAUCCUUGGCUCUAAUACAGUCGGGGGAUGACGGUACCGGAAGAAUAAGCACCGGCUAACUACGUGCCAGCAGCCGCGGUAAUACGUAGGGUGCAAGCGUUAAUCGGAAUUACUGGGCGUAAAGCGUGCGCAGGCGGUUUGCUAAGACCGAUGUGAAAUCCCCGGGCUCAACCUGGGAACUGCAUUGGUGACUGGCAGGCUAGAGUAUGGCAGAGGGGGGUAGAAUUCCACGUGUAGCAGUGAAAUGCGUAGAGAUGUGGAGGAAUACCGAUGGCGAAGGCAGCCCCCUGGGCCAAUACUGACGCUCACGCACGAAAGCGUGGGGAGCAAACAGGAUUAGAUACCCUGGUAGUCCACGCCCUAAACGAUGUCAACUAGUUGUUGGGGAUUCAUUUUCCUUAGUAACGUAGCUAACGCGUGAAGUUGACCGCCUGGGGAGUACGGUCGCAAGAUUAAAACUCAAGGAAUUGACGGGGUCAUAGCUG